rnacentral:rRNA from 1 species
UACAGAGGGUGCAAGCGUUGUUCGGAAUUAUUGGGCAUAAAGCGCGUGUAGGCGGCGUGGCAAGUCGGGUGUGAAAGCCCUCAGCUCAACUGAGGAAGUGCGCCCGAAACUGCUAUGCUUGAGUGCCGGAGAGGGUGGCGGAAUUCCCCAAGUAGAGGUGAAAUUCGUAGAUAUGGGGAGGAACACCGGUGGCGAAGGCGGCCACCUGGACGGUAACUGACGCUGAGACGCGAAAGCGUGGGGAGCAAACAGG